UAUAUAAUUUGUUUCUAUCUUUUAGAGACUUUUAAUGAUGUUUAUAACUUUUACGUUUUACUUGUUUUCACUUAUUUUAAACUUUUUUGUGCAUUUUUUUGGGUAAUCUAAGCUGUUUCUGGGCUCGUGCAUGAUUCCAAUGAGUGCACUUGAACUCGUUAGAGUUAUUGGGCUCAAGCAGGGGCAAAUCUUGGGCCCGAGCCACGUUUUUUAACAUUGAUAAUAACCGAUGAUCUUUAGGAUAUUCUUAAACCAUCUCAUAUAAUUUACAAUGUUAUGGACUUGUGACAUGGGCUUGAAUAUCACAUUAGGAUCUUUGGGGAAUUCAUAAACUAUAUUGUAUAAUUCACAUUGCUAUGACAUGGGCUUUAACAUCACAUGAGAAGUCAUUUUUAGUAUUACUAUUACAUAUAUAUCUCAUGGUUGCAACAACAUAAAACUUCUAAUUGAGCCCGGAUAUGUUUGACUUUUAUUUAAAACUCUCUCAUAUAACUAAAAUGGGUUUCUUCUAAGCAAAGCUUGCUCUAGAACAUUGUUUGACUGCAUGUUGUGCAACUUAAGGUAUUGUCUUUUCAUAGAAAAUACAUGCAAUUUGAGCAAAAUAAUAAUACCAAACAUAGGAUUAUUGACCUUUUAUAGUGAGAUUCACCACAUUUAUCUGGUCCUAUGCAGCCACCAAGUGUGUGGAAUGCCGCCUUCUUUAGCCAAUGAAACUCUCCCUGAAAUGAAAGCUGGGAUGGGUUUUUUUCCUGGUGCUGGAGUUUUGGAUAUGGAAAGGCCAGGUUUUCCUGUUCUCGGAGCCCCAGGCGCUGGAGCAUCAAAGAUUGAUCCAAACCAAAAUCUGUGCCCCCGUCCUCAUCGAUUUUGUUUGACACCCAUACUAAUAGUCAAGCCAAAUCUCCCACCUCUUCCAUGCAAUGUUGAUCUUUUGAUGAUGUCAAAGCAUGCGAUCGGCUUUGAUGGUUCAACCAUUGGCUCUUCAUCACCCCUUUGAGGACCGAUCCAAGGCUUUUGGGCAUUGGAACUACAGCUUCCAGCAAAGUUCGGACGUGCAUCUUCCUUUGAUUAUUUAAUGUUACACCCAUGACUAAAUUCCCUAACAAAUCAAUCGCCCAAGAUGAGGAAAGCUGAUCAAGUCCUAAAAUGAGCCUGAUUCAUUUGUUUAUUUCGCAAGUUCUAUUAUGACAGUUGCAUGAUAAUUUAGGGACCCUAUACAAUUUCUACAAUUUCUCCCAGAGUACGAAACUGUUAAGAACAUACUACCUAGUUGGAUGUGAAGUGAAUUAUUCCUUCUGCACAAAUUCAAGAAAAUCUUUCUCAAACUUUUGAGCAGUCGAUAGAUUUUGGUUGUCCGAUUUCACAUUGGAUUGCUUGGAGUGAGAACUCCACAUCUGACAUGGGUAUUUUUAACCUUGUUCUAGUAAUGUAAGUAGUCUCAUUGAAUAAUGCCCCUAUGUUAUAUGCUCUUCGUCUUCAAGCAUGGUCAAUGAUAGACCCUGGCUUUUUUAUUUUACAUUUGACCUCUAUUGCUUUUGACAUUUUUGUAUCAAAGGUAAAUGGUCUCAUUGCAUAUUUCCCUUAAUUUAAAUGCUCUUGUCAUUCAUCCAUUGGAGAUACAAAUGUCAACACAGGGUUGCCCUAAUUUAAGCAAUUGGUGAGACACACAUCAGCUGAUUCAAUCAGUAAUUUACCACAAAGAUGUCACUUAAAGAGGGGCAAUAUAUUUGAAACAAUUUCAAGCUUUAUCAUUGUAUUUCUCACAAGUAGUACCGUUAUCAAUUGUACAAAUGUACUUGUGUGUAUAGGAU